rnacentral:lncRNA from 1 species
CUCCUGAUUGUGCCCAGCCAGACUGCGGCAUUUGGUNAGACUUUGGUUUUUAAGACUUUCCUGCUCAGCAGCCCAGAUUCCUCCUCCCUCCCCAGCUUCUCACCACAGCAGUUGAGCAAGCAAGACGGCAGCAAGCAGAGUUUGUUAGAGGGAAAAAACGAGAAAGAAACCUCCACCAAAGGAGAAAGAAACAUCCACCUUCAGUUCUUUGUUUCCCUUAUGAGGUGGUACGUAUUUCUAGUUAGGCAUUGUGAUUCUGUACUGCAGAGUUGCAACCAUGUUAAGACUGAGUUGUGGAAGUCCCACUUUUAUACUAAUGGCUUCAUGUUGUUAUUUUCUCUGCUCUGAGAAAAUCUGUACCACAAAAUGACUGCCCAGCCAUCAGAUGUAAGUGUUCUGAGCUGUGAUGUUUCUGGAGUGUAGUGAAGGCAUUAUUAACUGAUAACAUUGUCAACUUGCUGUGGGUUUGUUGGUACAGAACCCCAUUGUAAGUUUUAGAAGUUCGUCCCAAUAUGGAACCCUGAGGACUCAACCCAUUUAAUUUUUUCUAAAUGUUAGUCUCACAUUUUAACAUUUCUGAAAUGAGGUUAGUCAGUGACUUGAUGAUUUAAAUUAGCGGGCUUUUCUCUUACUAGCGCAUAAAAUGUCUUUCCCUCAGUUGUGUCUUGGAUUUGAAGAAGCAGUGGCACCAGGAGGAGGGGUUGAGUGACCAGUGGGUCAUCCAUUUGAGGACUGGGGAGAGGGGUUCUGGAUGGUUACAGUUGACAUUGAGCUCUCUGGGGGCAGAAGGCAGGAGUCAGCUUGCCAUCCCACCUUGUGGAUGUUGUGGAUCUGAUUUUUCCUAGUAGCCUUUAUCAGCUGUCAUUGUUAGCAUUUUGUUGCAAGAUUUAAAGUGCUCAUAAUGUGAAGGAAAGCACAUAGCACAGACAAAUGUGUAGGAGCUGAGCUAUCUAUUUAAAGGGGGAAAAAUCUCUGUCCUCAUGGGGCUUGUGUGGGAAGAAUGUUUAGGGUUAAUGUUGUGUGUAUAUACCUCUGUGUCUCCAUGUGUGCAUUUAGGCCUUUUGUUUACAAAAGAAAACAACGUGCCUGAUGGCUAAUAGUGCUCAUUUAAAUAGUAAAUUCCUGUCUUAGAAAGCAUAUACAGGAAUUCCAACCACAAUUAAAGAAAAAGAAAUGGUAUAAAAUUGUAUUAAAACAAAGAAUAGAGAAUCCAGGAAUAGACCUAUAGAUAAACUCCCAGCAGUGCCAGGUUUCUGUUCUCGUGACUAAAAGGCUCAGGGGUCACUCCAGUUAAACUGGGCUAACUGGGCUGCACGAAAUAACCACACAAGAGACACAAAUACCUUUUUCUUUGGGGUCACUGUGACGGCUCCUCUGACCUUAAGGGUCUGCAGGAAGAGAGAGCGAGAGCACGCGCUGACCCCUUUUAUUGAGGAGAAGCUAUUCAAAUGAGGCAAGGAGUCAGGUUUCAGGGGGCUGAGUCUAUCUUCAUGAUGUCCACUGUCAGCAGGUUGACUGACACCUGGGUAGGCCACACCCAAGGGCACAGUAAGAGAAGGGGACACACACAAGGCACUUCCAUGGAAGAUUCUAUCCUAAACAGGGCAAGGGGUUAGAUUACAAAGGAACAGGUGAGCAUAACUUCAUCUACGGAGCUGUAGCAAGACACACCCAUGCACAAGACACCGACCCUCGCACCCAAGAAGGGUGGGGAAAGCUCUGCCACAUUUCUGCGACUGAGCGCCUCAGCACCCAGCUGGGGAGUGUAACCCAGUCCCGUGUAAGGUUGGUCUCCCACACAGCAUUUUUUUUUAAACUAUUGGGACUUGAACCCAGUGCUUCUCACAUACUAGGGAUGCACUAUACCACUGAACUACAUCCUUAGCCCUUUUUAACUUCUUAUUUAGAGACAGGGCUUGCCAGUCUGGCCUUGAACUGAUCCUCCAGCCUCUGCCUCCUGAGUUGCUGGGAUUGUAGGGAUGCACCACUGUGCCUGACUCCAGCAGGUUUUUUGACAAAGGAACAAAACUUUGAAGAUGUGCUAGCCUCUUCACCUAAUCGUGCUAGAGCACCUGGGUGUUGGUGGUGAAGAGAGGCGUAUUUUGUCUUUGUCCCCGUUGGCUGACACAGAGCUGAUGGCAUUGGCAUUUCCUCAUGGGAGUAUCUUGUAUGAAAGGAGCCCUUUCAACUGCACUGAAGUUUGUGCUAGUGAGAUGUCUUGGGUGGGUGGCCUACCUUGUAUCGGGAGGGGUGCUGGUUGUGAGAAUUUGAAGCCCCGUGAGACUCAGAGAGCUUCUAGGUUGGUGAACACAGUGCGUGCUCUGAGUGUCUUGUGCCCUGAGGGGCACAUCAGCCAAACCUUUUCCUGGUUUCUUCCAUUUAGCUGUACCCUUUGUAAUAAACUGGUAAAUAUGAUUGUUCUCCUAUGUUCUGUGAGUUCUAACAACUUAAUUGAACCUGAGGUGGGGACCAAGAGGCCCCCUAGCACAAGUGUGGGUAGCCUGUAGCUGUGCACAGUGGCUCAUGCCUAUAAUCCCAGUGACUUGGAAGGCUGAUGCAGGACGAUCACAAGUUCAAGGCCAGCCUCAGUAAUUUAGUGAGAUCCUAAGCAACUCGGCAAGACCCUGCCUCAAAAUAAAAGAUUAAAAAGGGCUGGGAUGUGGCUCAGUGUUGAAGUGCCCCUUGCUUAAAUCUCCAAUACCUCCCCCCCCAAAAAAAAAUAAAGGUGGGAGGUAGAUAGCUUGUGGUGUCUGAAACAGGACUGAGGCUUUACUUUCCAGUUUGCAGUGAUUCUGGGUAGAGUAUCUGAAAAGGAUUGAACACUUGGACACCCAGUUAGUGUUGCAGAAUUGUUGGUUUGGGAACAAACCAUUCAUUGGUGUCAGAGAACGAGACACCUCAACAACUAUAAUGGCAAAAGGACCUCAACAUAAACCUCACAUCUUACUCAAAAAUGAAAUUAGUGGUGGACUUAAAUGCAAAAGGUAAAACUAUUGUAAAGUUUUUAGGAAAAAUAUAGGAGGAAUCCUUUAAGACUUAGGGAGUAGACAAAGAGUUGUUAAAAUUGACACCAAAAGCAUGAUCCGUAAAAGGAAAAUUUGCUGAAUUGGAUGUCAUCUAAGUUUAAAUUCUUUGUUCUGCUGGAGAGCCUGUUAAGGACAUCAGAAGUCAGGCAACAGACUAGGAGAAAAUGUUACCAAAAUACAUAAUUUUUCUAUUAGACUACCAAUUCUCAGGGGCAGAUGGAGAGUGGUCUUACUAAUUUAUCUUUAAUGUUGCUUAACAUAUGUAUUUUUUAAUCAUUAUUGGAAAUAGUUCAGUUCACAGUGGGAUAAUUUAGACAGAAUAACUUAUUGCCCACCAAUAUUUGAGGAGAUCAUAUCAUUUAAGAUGUUGGCUAAAUAUUUGCCCAGUCCAUGGUGUAUGUAAUGAUGACACAUGAUUACAUAUAUAAGUGGUAUCAGUUUCAAUUCCUGAAGCUGCUAUUCUAUUUCAGGAUCUUAAUACUAUUCCCUUUGGGUAAAGUGUCCUAACAAGUCAUUAAUCUAUUUCUUCUAAAUUUUUCUAUUCCCCACCUUUUCCACAAAUCACCUAUAUGCUUUCAAGUUGUCUUCCUAUAUUCACAGCUCUAAUCAGAAUUUGACCAAAUUAUGCUAUUUUUUAAUAUUUAUUUUUUAGUUGUAGUUGGACACAAUAUCUUUAAUUAAUUUAUUUUUAUGGGGUGCUGAGGAUCAAACCCAGGGCUUCGCCUGUGCUAGGCAAGCGCUCUACCGCUGAGCCACAACCCCAGCCACAAAAUUAUGCUAUUUUCAUAUAUUAAUAUACCGUAAUGAAUUUCACCUUUAUGUAUAUCUGUAAAGCACCAAGUUAAAAAGUACUAUAAAUAAAUAGAAAGGAUACCAGUAAAGUAGAGGAAAGGGAACAGGGAGAGGGAGGAGGGAAGGCUAAGAGGGAGUACUGGGGACUGAAGAGGAACAAAUCAUAUUCAAUACAUGUUCAUAGAUAUGUAAAUAUACCUCAAAUGCUUUUUCUUUUUUUAAUAUGUAUUUUUUAGUUGUAGUUGGACACAAUAACCUUUAUUUAUUUUUAUGCAGUGCUGAGAACCGAACCCAGGGCCUCACAUGUGCUAGGUGAGCACUCUACCACUGAGCCACAAUCCCAGCCCCCCUUUUUCUUUUUUAAAUCAGAAAAUAGGCAAAAGGAAUUGAGCGGAUAUUGUACUGAAGAGGAUAUACAGAUAACGAAUAACCAAGAAAAUACACUCAACAUUAGCCAUUAGGGAAAUGUAAAUCAAAAACCACAGUGAGAUAUGACUACAUACAGAAUGGCUAAAAUGAACAAUAAUGAUAACACCAAAUGUCAGUAAGAAUGUGGAGAAACUGAGUCAUGCAUAUGUUGGUGGUGGGAAUGUAAAAUGGUUCAGCUACUUUGGGAAUUUUUUCUUUUUUCUUUUUUUUUUAACAAUACUGGUGUACUUAUAUGCAACCUAGAGGUUGCAUUCUUAUGCAUUUAUCUCGCCCAAACUGAACACAAAACCCCGUGUAUGGAUGUUCAUAGCACCUGUAUUUUCUAGUAGCAAAAUAUUGAAAACCCAAUGCCUUUCAGCCAGGGAAUGCUUAAAAUUAUUGUAUACUAUUGAAUAAUACUUAACAGUAAAAAAAAGAACAAACUAUUGAUACACACUGAAGAUCUAAAGCUAAUUACCUUCAGUGAAAAGAGCCAGACGCAAAAGAGGCUGGGGCUGGGGUUGUGGCUUAGAGGAAAGAUGGCUCACAUAGCAUGCAAGUCACUGGGUUCCAUCCUCAGCACCACAUUAAAAAAAAAAAGGUAUUAUGCCCACCUACAAGUAAAAUGGUUUUUCUUUUCUUUUCUUUCUUUUUCUUUUUCUUUUUUUUUCUUUUUUUUUUUUUUUUUAAGGCAUAGACUGUUAGUUACAUCUAUAUGACAUCCUGUAGAGAGAAACCUGUACCAGGGACUACACAUCCAUUACUGCCAGGGGAUGUGGGUGGGGAAGGUUUGAUUAACUGCCCAGGGGGCAGUAGAACUAAUCUUUGUCGUGAUUGUGUUAUGAGAGUUAAAAUUCUCAACUGAAUUCAAAAAAGUCUCCUCUCUACUUCUUUGUCCCUAUGUGUGUCAUCCCUGGCUCUAGGACUCUUGGUCCCUUCUCUGCGUGUGUUACCCAGGCUCUUCUGGUGGCGGACACUCUCCAGUCUCUGGUUUUUCUGUCUCUCUUUGCCAGUCUUUUGUCUCCGCCUCUCACUUUUCGGGGGGUCGGGGGCGCUUUUCUAUAGGCGUUUGUUUACCUGUUGCCAUGGUAUCGAAGUGACGAAGGCUCAAUUGGGAACGACGCAGGGAAGCCCUAUCCUGAUUGGCUGGCUCCUGUCAGCGGCCCCGCCCCGCCCGCGAGGACCGGCCCACAGCAU